CUUAUUCUUUUUAUUAUCCUUCCCUCAUCUUUUUCAGUAUUAUCAACGAUGUAAUUCUAUUCGUCUUCUUAAGUUGGUGGAGUAUCUCAUCUCUGGAUGUUGAGGAUAACAUCUCGAACAUGCAACGUCCCCAAGAAGAAAUAAAACUUAGGGAUUUUCAUGAGUAAUCACCAACAAUAGCAGAUUCGAGGAACUUAGUGGCGUAACCCUUACAGGGAAGUGCUAAAAGGCUUGUGAAAGCUGCGUUGCAGUAUCCGAUCUAGAAAUGAGAUAGAGCACCACGUGAUCCUAGAAGUUUCUCCUUGAUACAAACCCCGUGAGUAGGGCCAGCUUGAUAAAGGGUUUUCUAUAUCCGUUACAGGGGCGGGGUUACCAUACUUCGAACACUCUUGCUCCUUGUGACAUACCCCGAGCUGUGGUAUCUAAAUGGAAGGAUGGGCAUUUGGGUGUCUAAGCGACAACGACGGAAAUAAAGAAAAUGAAGCCUGCUGGAUAUAUAGAUAGAGAGCUUGAAGGUGAUAAAGCUCGAAUUACAUGACAAUAGUUUCUUACCAGUUACUCAAUUUUCUUGUCUUGUUUCUUUUUGAGGUCCUUUAUCCUUCGUAGAUUAUUUUUAAAUUUGUAUUGAGAGAUUCUAUUUUAUUAUUUU